CGACCUCAGAGCAGGCGAGACUACCCGCUGAAUUUAAGCAUAUUACUAAGCGGAGGAAAAGAAACUAACAAGGAUUCCCCCAGUAGCGGCGAGCGAACAGGGAAGAGUCCAGCACCGAACCCCGCAGGCUGCCGCCUGUCGUGGCAUGUGGUGUUUGGGAGGGUCCACUACCCCGACGCCUCGCGCCGAGCCCAAGUCCAACUUGAAUGAGGCCACGGCCCGUAGAGGGUGCCAGGCCCGUAGCGGCCGGUGCGAGCGUCGGCGGGACCUCUCCUUCGAGUCGGGUUGCUUGAGAGUGCAGCUCCAAGUGGGUGGUAAACUCCAUCUGAGACUAAAUAUGACCACGAGACCGAUAGCGAACAAGUACCGUGAGGGAAAGUUGAAAAGAACUUUGAAGAGAGAGUUCAAAAGUACGUGAAACCGUUCUGGGGUAAACGUGAGAAGUCCGAAAGGUCGAACGGGUGAGAUUCACGCCCAUCCGGCCACUGGCCUCCGCCCUCGGCAGAUGGGGCCGGCCGCCCGCGCGGAGCAAUCCGCGGCGGGGUCGUGUCCGGUUGCCUUUCCACUCGCCGCGGGGUGGGGCCGUUCCGGUGUGCGGUGGGCCGCACUUCUCCCCUAGUAGGACGUCGCGACCCGCUGGGUGCCGGCCUACGGCCCGGGUGCGCAGCCUGUCCUUCCGCGGGCCUCGGUUCGCGUCUGUUGGGCAGAGCCCCGGUGUCCUGGCUGGCUGCCCGGCGGUAUAUCUGGAGGAGUCGAUUCGCCCCUUUGGGCGCUCGGGCUCCCGGCAAGCGCGCGCGGUUCUUCCCGGAUGACGGACCUACCUGGCCCGGCCCCGGACCCGCGCCGCUGUUGGCUCGGGAUGCUCUCGGGCGGAAUAAUCGCUCCCGUCAGCGGCGCUUCAGCUUUGGACAAUUUCACGACCCGUCUUGAAACACGGACCAAGGAGUCUAACAUGUGCGCGAGUCAUUGGGCUGUACGAAACCUAAAGGCGUAAUGAAAGUGAAGGUCUCGCCUUGCGCGGGCCGAGGGAGGAUGGGGCUUCCCCGCCCUUCACGGGGCGGCGGCCUCCGCACUCCCGGGGCGUCUCGUCCUCAUUGCGAGGUGAGGCGCACCUAGAGCGUACACGUUGGGACCCGAAAGAUGGUGAACUAUGCCUGGCCAGGACGAAGUCAGGGGAAACCCUGAUGGAGGUCCGUAGCGAUUCUGACGUGCAAAUCGAUCGUCGGAGCUGGGUAUAGGGGCGAAAGACUAAUCGAACCAUCUAGUAGCUGGUUCCCUCCGAAGUUUCCCUCAGGAUAGCUGGUGCUCGUACGAGUCUCAUCCGGUAAAGCGAAUGAUUAGAGGCCUUGGGGCCGAAACGACCUCAACCUAUUCUCAAACUUUAAAUGGGUGAGAUCUCCGGCUUGCUUGAUAUGCUGAAGCCGCGAGCAAACGACUCGGAUCGGAGUGCCAAGUGGGCCACUUUUGGUAAGCAGAACUGGCGCUGUGGGAUGAACCAAACGCCGAGUUAAGGCGCCCGAAUCGACGCUCAUGGGAAACCAUGAAAGGCGUUGGUUGCUUAAGACAGCAGGACGGUGGCCAUGGAAGUCGGAAUCCGCUAAGGAGUGUGUAACAACUCACCUGCCGAAGCAACUAGCCCUGAAAAUGGAUGGCGCUGAAGCGUCGUGCCUAUACUCGGCCGUCAGUCUGGCAGUCAUGGCCGGUCCUUGCGGCCGGCCGCGAAGCCCUGACGAGUAGGAGGGUCGCGGCGGUGGGCGCAGAAGGGUCUGGGCGUGAGCCUGCCUGGAGCCGCCGUCGGUGCAGAUCUUGGUGGUAGUAGCAAAUACUCCAGCGAGGCCCUGGAGGGCUGACGCGGAGAAGGGUUUCGUGUGAACAGCCGUUGCACACGAGUCAGUCGAUCCUAAGCCCUAGGAGAAAUCCGAUGUUGAUGGGGGCCGUCAUAGCAUGAUGCGCUUUGUGCUGGCCCCCGUUGGGCGAAAGGGAAUCCGGUUCCUAUUCCGGAACCCGGCAGCGGAACCGAUACAAGUCGGGCCCCUCUUUUAGAGAUGCUCGUCGGGGUAACCCAAAAGGACCCGGAGACGCCGUCGGGAGAUCGGGGAAGAGUUUUCUUUUCUGCAUGAGCGUUCGAGUUCCCUGGAAUCCUCUAGCAGGGAGAUAGGGUUUGGAACGCGAAGAGCACCGCAGUUGCGGCGGUGUCCCGAUCUUCCCCUCGGACCUUGAAAAUCCGGGAGAGGGCCACGUGGAGGUGUCGCGCCGGUUCGUACCCAUAUCCGCAGCAGGUCUCCAAGGUGAAGAGCCUCUAGUCGAUAGAAUAAUGUAGGUAAGGGAAGUCGGCAAAUUGGAUCCGUAACUUCGGGAUAAGGAUUGGCUCUGAGGAUCGGGGCGUGUCGGGCUUGGUCGGGAAGUGGGUCAGCGCUAACGUGCCGGGCCUGGGCGAGGUGAGUGCCGUAGGGGUGCCGGUAAGUGCGGGCGUUUAGCGCGGGCGUGGUCUGCUCUCGCCGUUGGUCGGCCUCGUGCUGGCCGGCGGUGCAGGAUGCGCGCGCCUGCGCGGCGUUCGCGCCCCGGUGCUUCAACCUGCGUGCAGGAUCCGAGCUCGGUCCCGUGCCUUGGCCUCCCACGGAUCUUCCUUGCUGCGAGGCCGCGUCCGCCUUAGCGUGCUCCUCCGGGGGCGCGCGGGUGCGCGGAUUCUCUUCGGCCGCCAUUCAACGAUCAACUCAGAACUGGCACGGACUGGGGGAAUCCGACUGUCUAAUUAAAACAAAGCAUUGCGAUGGCCCUAGCGGGUGUUGACGCAAUGUGAUUUCUGCCCAGUGCUCUGAAUGUCAACGUGAAGAAAUUCAAGCAAGCGCGGGUAAACGGCGGGACGGCCUGACUCCAGCGGAGCUGCGGCGCCUGCCGCAUGAAGUCCUGGUGAAACUCUUGAACCUCUUCCUCCUGGCCCGCGCCCUUCCCGAGCGUCUGCUUCGCGCCCGGACGUCACUUCUCCCCAAAACGGCUGCACCAACAUCCCCCGCUGACUUUCGCCCCAUUACGGUCUGCUCGGUGUUGGCGCGGACCUUUCACAAGGUUCUCGCGUCACGCCUGAUGCGUGCAUGUGCUGUGGACGAACGUCAGCGGGCAUUCAUCCCCCGGGAUGGGAUGUUGGAAAACACCUUCAUCUUGGACACUGCUCUCACCGACGCAGUCCGCUCCUGUCGCUCUGUUUUUGUGGCAUCGAUCGACGUCUCUAAAGCGUUCGAUUCGGUGGACCAUGCUGCCCUCCGCCCCGUGCUGAGGGCUCAUGGCCUGCCGGAUUGCUUUAUUGAGUACGUCGAAAGGUGUUACGAGGGUAGCACGACAGUGAUAGCGGGCGGCGCCGACGUGGGCGUGCCCCUGCAGCCGGCUAGGGGUGUGCGUCAGGGUGACCCCCUCUCCCCCCUCCUUUUCAAUUUUGCGGUGGACUAUGUUUUGAGUCAACUUCCCUCCCACAUCGGAGCUCGGAUCCUUGGUCGCAGAGUUAACGCUGCGGCCUUCGCAGAUGACGUCCUGCUUUUUGCAUCGACCGCGAGGGGAUUGCAGUCCCUCAUCGACGCAGCCGUCGCAGCCCUCGCCCAUCUGGGGCUGCAGAUCAACGCCCGGAAGUGUUUCACCCUCGCCUUAGUCGCGUCUGGGCGCGACAAGAAGGUGAAGGUCGACGCCGACGUUACCUUCAAAGCGGGCAACGCCACCGUGCCCGCCCUACGUGUGGGUGAAACCUUCCGGUACCUGGGACUGCAAUUCUCCACCGCCGGUCGCUGCGUUUUCAACCCACGACGCCACCUGGUGGAGCAGCUGGACGUCAUCUCCCGAGCUCCGCUCAAGCCGCAACAGCGCCUCCACGCCCUCACCACCGUACUUCUGCCUGGCCUGUACCAUGGGCUGGCCCUCAGCCGCACCCGAGUGGGUGCGUUGAAAGCGGCAGAUGUGACCAUCCGUGCCGCCGUCAGGAGAUGGUUCCGCCUUCCGGCGGACACUCCCCUGGGCUACUUCCACGCUCCUGUAGCCCAGGGAGGCCUCGGCAUCCCAUCAUGCCGAUGGAUGGGGCCAACACUUCGCCGGUCCCGUCUCCUGGCGCUGAAGAGGAUUGGGCCAGCCGCCGACGGUGCAGGCCGGGACGAGGUGCAGCGUGAGAUUGAGGUGCUGGAGCGGCAUCUUAUGUGGGAGGGCCACCUCCUCAAAUCGUCGACGCAGGUUGGAGAGAUGUGGGCCGCGCGCCUGCACGUUGCCUUUGACGGUGCGGCGCUGUCAUCUUCUGCCGCCGUCAAGGGGCAACACCAGUGGGUCGCUGACACCAGUCGCCUGCUAUCUGGGCGUAACUUCAUCGACGCUCUCCGCGCCCGCAUCAACGCCUUCCCCACGAAGGCACGGCGCAGUCGCGGGCGGGAGGCGGACACCAGAUGCCGCGCGGGCUGCCAGGCCGUAGAGACCGCCAACCACGUGUUACAGGCUUGCUUCAGGACGCACGGGUCCCGGGUUAAGCGGCAUGACGCGAUCGUGCGCUAUGUCGCCCGUGGACUCGCGCAGAGGGGCUUCAACGUCUCUGUGGAGCCCCACCUCCGCACACCUGAGGGAAUCCGCAAGCCUGACGUGGUGGCGGUCAAAGACGGCAUCGCCCGCGUCAUCGACGCCCAGGUAGUCGGAGACCAUCUCCGGCUCGACUGGUGUCACUCCGAGAAAGCGGCCUACUACAACACGCCGUCCAUCAGGCGUGCCAUCUCCAACCUGCACCGUGACGUUGAGGAGGUUACAGUGUCCACCGCGACAUUGAAUUGGAGGGGUGUAUGGUCUCCAGCGUCGGCCGGAGAUCUCUCCGCACUUGGAUUUAGACCCCGAGAACUGGCGGUGCUUAGCGCAAGAGUACUGCAAAGCUGCUGCACGAGCUAUCGCAUUUUCGAACAUAUGACGACGCAAAGACCGAUGGAGCGAGCCGGCGUCGGAUAGGAUGCUGGUUAUUUUCUUCGCCUUGACUCCUGGGGCCUAUC